GCCCCGGUGGCGGGGGGGCCGCGCUGGGGAGUUGGUGAUUAACCUGCGGGCCAUUGAAUACCUGCCUAAAGUCGCGCCCAGGGUGGGGUUUAACCUUGUCCCAGGCUCGGUGCCUCCCAUGUGACUCUCUGCCCGAGAGCCUGAGGCGGCCAGUUCUGCUGCUGCCGCCGAAGCGCUGCGGGGAUGCGCAGCUCCCUGUUGAAAAUCUCUGCUCUAAAUCUCAGCCUAGAGCCCGCCUCGCAGUCGUUUUUGGAAGUUUCAGGCUCAAGAGGUCGAGGUGAUGUGGGGGUCUCGGCAAGCGUCUCUGCAGCAGCAGCUGUGGGCUGCAGGAGCUCGAGUGUUUGUGGCUGGCGCUUGAAUCCAUGCUGGCCCCUUUUCCUCGGGCUGAGCUGCAAGGAGCUCAGCAGCUGCGGCAUUUAGUUCAAUUAUUUCAGAUGAUCUGUAAAUUUUCAAUAAUGGCAAUACAUUCAUUCUGCCAUUUGGAGGAGCCUGUGCCACAGAAUAAUGAUCUGAAGAAAGCUCACUCAUUUGCUAGGACGAGUCUUAAUUUGGGAAUUAGCACUGAUGCAGCUCAAGGAUGCUUUUUCAUGUCCAGACUCCUUCAGCAGAACUGUUAUUUUCCUAACACAAUCUCUGGUACAAGGAUAAAAUUGGGUUUUUGUCAAAGAACAGAGUCCUGUAUCUGAAGAGUAAGAAGGUCCUUGACAUUCAGUGGGAUGACAAUCUCAGAACUGACUACUGGGGACUCCCAAGCUACAGAUCAGGUAAAUAACUUCUUUGGAGGAGGAAAUUAAAGGUGUCUUAUUUCCAAAAUUAUGAUAAUUAAGUAGCAAAUUGUGCAACUUAAACUAUAAAUAUUUCCCACUUAACAUUUCAUUUAAAAUAGAUAUAUCUAUAUUUGUGAGAGGAUUUGUUAGUUGCAGUUUGAGCCUUAUAUAAUUAUCUAACAUUUCAGCAGUACUGUUUCUAAAGAGGAUUUCUAUACUGACACAGAGCAUGAAUAUCUAGUUCUAAUCUAAUUUUCCAAUGUGAACCUGUGUGUAGUUGGUCCAAUCACUGUGAUUUUCAUUUUGCAGCAAUGUCUUUUGAUAUUGAAUGUAUAAUUUAGACCUAACAGUUUCCAUAUUAGAGGAAGUUAUAGGGGCUCUGUUCAGAUCAUAGGAUUAACUUGGUUUAUUUCCUGCUUCAGCUAGUCCCCACUUUCUCCAAAGACAGGAUAACUCAGUUUGUGUUGUGACAGCUCAGCGCAGUUUGUAACAGAGAGCCUUGACAUCACCCAGAAUUGGUGCUGCUGUACUUUAUUUCUGCUCUUGGAAAGUACAGCGGUGCUGCGGCCUCUUUAAUGGGGGCAGGAAACUUGGAGAGGAACGGUGUACAAUGGCAGCAGGAGCUGCUAUGGCCAUCUCUGGUAGCAUGUCCUAGUUCAUGAUCCAGGGUCCUCUUUUAAUCUGCUUUAUGGGGGGAAUGGGGAGGAAAAGUGGAAAAUAGUUCUGUAAUUGUUAAAAAAAGUGGUACGUUUUCCUUGUUAAAAAACAAAGUUUUUCUUCUGUCAUAGUGUUUCAAAGAGAAAACAGGACAGAUUUGGGUAUUUGUUUUUAAGACUUAUCCAAUUUCAACUAUAGACUUGCUUCCUUGCCGCCUUCAAAACCAGGAAAAUAAUAUAAAAGAAUCAAUAUUUUAAGAUCAAGAAUAAAAAUAGGGAGUAUUUUAAGAUAAAAGAUUACAAUAAAUCAAAGAAAUAUUUGUAUUACCUUUUGAGAUAUUUAACUUCAAUGGACUGUUAACAUCAAUGAGACGUAUUUAGGAUUUUCUGUGUUCAGUUCUAUAGGCAAUAUAGAAUGUGAGAGAAACAGCUGCAUCUGAAAUAGAUCAUCUGCCUUAAGAAAGUAAGCAAGUAUUCCUGCCAAGCAAUUGGAUAACCUAAAAUACAAGUGGCUUUAUAGUAGCUUCCUAAUUAAUUUAAGUGCAUAGAAGGAGUAUUGCAUGCUUGUAAAAAGUUGUGUGUUCCUAAGUGGUGAAGAAUACAAGGUUUGGGGUUUUUUUCCCCUGUAGAAAUGAGUAAUCCCUGUAAUUCUUGCCACAGGAUAUACUAAAUGACUGGGGUGAAUUCCUGUACCUCUUGAAUUUGUAAAGUUAUACAAAAUCUGAUCAACAGCUACUAAAGUUUCUUUAUAAUUAAAAAAAAGUCAUGUAGCACACAGCACAUUCAAUCUUAGAGAAGCAACGUAUUUUAAGAGACAGUUCAUAUCACUGUAGGUAAGUUUGUGCCAUUAGCACUCUAAAAUAGAAAUAUUUGAGCAAUACAUAAGCUGUGCGUGUACCUCUCUCUGUGGGUAACCCAUUGAUAUAUUAGUUUUAUAGAAUAUCUUUGUUCCACUGUUCUUUGGAACACAGCUUCCUGCCCACUCAGAAAGACGGAUCUUAACUUGUUCUUGGGACUUGCGUUCUAAGAAUGUCUGAGAGGGCUCACGUGGGAGCUGAUGUGGAGCUUACCUUAGGGCUUAGCAACAAUGGCAGGACUGGAUACCACCCAAUGUGCUGCACUGAUUUUGGGUCCCAACAUCAUGAUUUUUUUUUUUUUUUUGAGAGCAGACCGAGAAAUUUGUUAUCCUGGUCAUGAACAUCUAGCUUAAAUGCUCUUCUCUUGGAUCACACUCUUUUAUUGCUGUCAUAUUGAACUGGUUGGUUUUGUUCUUGAAGGAGGAGAGUCUGUUGCCUUAUCUGCAAUACACCUAUGGGAGUUUCAGGGUCUUCCAGGAGAGGAUAUCUCAUUCCUGACAUGCUCACCAAGAAGAGGUGAUGGAGCCUGUGUGGUGCUUUGAAGAUUAACUUCAUUAUCAUGCUGUGGAAUGGGCAGCUGGAAUUGGCAGAUGCUUUUUCAAACAACCAAGCAAAGUGCAGGUGUGGGUUGCUUGUCAGAAAUCCAUUCUGAAGCUUGAGUGCAAAGGAAGCAGAGUACUAAUGAUGAAUACGAAUGGAUAUCUUAAGGAUAACAAUGGAUCUUCAAAAGCAGUGGCAUUCUGGUCCUAGUCCUGCAACUGGAUUUAUUCAAAUGGACCUCGAUAGCCUGGGGGCCUGAUGAAGCUCAUGGGACUCUGGUGACUGCAGGUUCUCACUCUGAAGAUCUGAUUGUAGGCCUGAACCUAAAUUUCUAUUUCGUUCUCCUGUCUAUUUGCUUCUUAAGUGAUGAAAAUUAUCCUUUAAAAUGGUGUUGUCUUUGAAUCUCAUGUACAUCCACUUUAGUAGUGUUCCAACACUGUGUGCCUGGGAUGUUGUCAGACGUUAAAUUAUUUCUGUUCUGUUGAGUGUCUAAACCUCAUGAUUUCUCUGAUUAUUGUGUUAGAUUUUUCUGUUUAGUGUCUUUCUACCUAAAAUGGAGGAGAUCAUCACCUGUGUUUUCAAUCGUUGUGGUAUUUCUCUUAACUCAGAUUUUUAAGUCAGAGUAAUUGUUGAAAGUGUUCUGGUUAUUUUUAAAGAUAUAGGCAGAUUUGUUUAUUUCUUGCUGGACACAAAGUAUAAUAUUUUAUUUUGCAAACUUGGUAGCCUAGUAUUACUGAAAGCUUUCAAUAUGAUGAUACUCUGAUGUAAUAAAAUAAGUAGGAAAAGACCCUUUUACUAGCUCUCCUGUUGCUUUUCUAUUCCUGUGGCUGUGGUUACACAACAUCAGAGUGUUGUGUAAAAAAAAAGUGAAGAUAUUUUUAUUUUUUGUGAGUCAGUAUAUACCUUUUGUUGACAAUAAGCGCCGCUCCCUCUCCUAUUCCAUGUUGCAAUUUCACUGAAUAAUAAAGUUAUAGCCCUGGUAGAACCUAUAGAAAGGACUUUGAAAAUCACAUGUAGAGGGUGAUCACAAAUAGAGUGUAAAAGGAAAAAUAGAUGUGUUCUGUCUUUAUACAUGUUGGUAUAUAAGUUGUAUAUAUUUUUAAAGCAAGUAUGUAGCAGUGUAUGAUAAUUCGUAUAUUAAAAGAGCCAAAACUUACUUUCUAUAUAGAGAAUCAGAAAAACUUGUUUGGUUUUUGUAGGCUUGUUACAAUGAUAUUAAGGAGCUUCACAGUAUUUGAUGAUUUUUUGUGUAUUCCCAGAACAGAAAAGCACCAUUGUCCUGUUAAAUCAAGGAGAAAACUGAGCUACUUGUUUAGUGAGUAGUAAAGUCAAUGAUAUUAAAUGGAUUCUCCUGCCUUUUAACCUUGUGCCUCCAGCUCCUUUUUCCCCUCAAGACCCAAACAUUCCAUUACCAUCAUCUGCUUUGCAUUUCUACGUGAAAGGCCCAAGGUGUUUCUGUUUGGACUCCCAGAAAAUGAGGAAGACAAGGUUGGUUGGCCAUCUGCCAGGGUGCAAGGUCUGACUCGCUCCUUGCUCACAGGGGCUGCUGGUGAAGGCAGAGUCAGAACUGAGUGUUCUGUGUGGCAUUCAACUGCCUUAACCACAUGCCCAUCGCUCUCUUCCUGAGCUGUCUGUCUUGUUCUCAGCAUAACUCCUAAAGACAACACGUAUAACAACCAAUAAAUAAUCUAAUUUGAUGCACAGCCCUGAUUCACUUCCUGAGCCGUGUCCUGCUCACACGGGGCAGCCACAGUCCCAUGGAAAAAUUCAUCAUGGUGCAUGAGGCCAAAGAGUAAGGCUGUUAAGUGUCUUUAAACUUUGCAAUGAAGCAGUGUUCUUUUAACGUCACUUAUUAUAGUCAUAGCUCAACGUAUUUUUAACAAGGCACAAGAGAAAAAUGGAAGCUUUUAGAACUGGUUGUAACCAAUUUCCUGUCUAGCCUGUGAAUGUGAAUGUCCAGCUCAGUGAAACACAGACACACAGACCAUCAGCCAAUGGGAGGAGGCUGGCCACUUCCAGGGAGGAAGGGAAGGAAGAAGGAUGGGUGCUUAACACCAUGGGUAUAUCCAAUUUGCUUCCAAGUCUCAGGGACUAUUUGUGGAGUGUUGACCCCAGCUUUUUAGCUUUUGCUUUCUCUUCAGCAUUCCCACACCCAAAAAUUAGCUCCUCCAGAGCUUCUCAGUACAAUAGAUAUUGGGGGUGUUUCUGUAGUCUGCUAAUAAUUUAAAUGAAGAAGCAGAAAUCAAAGGUGGGCUUUUCUGCUGCAUUUUCCUGUUGAAAAAUAAGAGGAGAUGCUCCCAGUUCUCUCCACAAUGAAUUUCAGGGGCUAUCCUUCUGAUCCUUGAUCUCACAAAGAGAUGGCAAAAACUUUAAUAGAAAAUUCUGUUCUUGGCUUACCCCUUUAUCUUCUUCCUGGUCAAAUUGUAGUGACCUACUGUGUUUGUAAGCUACCAAGGAUGAUGUGUAGGCUCCAGUGUCAGAGCAAUUGUGUUGGGAACACAAGCUCAUCUUGUUAUCUUUUAUGUUAGAAUUUGGUAGCACAAUAAGUUUUUUUCAGAGAAACCUUGCCAGACCAUGGUCUGAGUUUCAGUUUUUGUUAAUAUCUGCUUUAUCUAUGGAUGGUGUUUGAGAUUUGGUCACCAAGCCUAAUGAUUUGCUAUGAGGAAAACAAAAUCUCAUACUUUGCUUUUGCAUGUUUUUCUCUGAGAUAUGCAGUCAUUUAUCCCAAGUACUGCAGCAAGUUCCUGUAAAAAGACCAGGUGGGAAUACUGUUAGGGAAAAUUUGUUCAACCCAUUCACUGAAAUUCAUAAAAAUCAAAAUACUUGCAAAAAUAAUUCACUGGUCUUUUGUUGCAAAAUAAAAAUGAAAAACCUGA
ensembl:lncRNA